GGACCCGCACAAGCAGCGGAGCAUGUGGUUUAAUUCGAAGCAACGCGAAGAACCUUACCAGGGCUUGACAUCCUGCUGACAGGUCGGUAAAACGACCCUUCUUCGGACAGCAGUGACAGGUGGUGCAUGGUUGUCGUCAGCUCGUGUCGUGAGAUGUUGGGUUAAGUCCCGCAACGAGCGCAACCCUUGUCAUUAGUUGCCAUCAGGUUAAGCUGAGCACUCUAAUGAGACUGCCGAGGUUAACUCGGAGGAAGGUGGGGAUGACGUCAAAUCAUCAUGCCCCUUAUGUUCUGGGCUACACACGUGCUACAAUGGUCGGUACAAAGAGACGCGAAGUCGCGAGGCGGAGCAAAUCAGAAAAACCGAUCCCAGUUCGGAUUGCAGGCUGCAACUCGCCUGCAUCGAAGUCGGAGUUGCUAGUAAUCGUGAAUCAGAAUGUCA
rnacentral:rRNA from 1 species